rnacentral:rRNA from 1 species
AAUCAACGCUGGCGGCGUGCCUAACACAUGCAAGUCGAGCGAGGAAAGGGGGGCAACUCCCUGAGUACAGCGGCGCACGGGUGAGUAACACGUGGGUAAUCUGCCCUGGAGUGGGGAAUAACACCGGGAAACCGGUGCUAAUACCGCAUACGAUAACGAGGUCUGCGGACUUUGUUAUGAAAGGAGCAAUUCGCUCCAGGAGGAGCCCGCGGCUGGUUAGCUAGGUGGUGGGGUAAUGGCUCACCAAGGCUACGAUCAGUAUCCGGUCUGAGAUGACGGUCGGACACACUGGAACUUGGACACUGUCCAGACUCCUACGGGAGGCAGCAGUGGGGAAUUUUUUGCAAUGGUGGAAACCCUGACCAAGCAACGCCGCGUGGGUGAUGAAGUCUCUUGGGACGUAAAACCCUUUCGACGGGGAAGAAACCGCAAGGUUGACGGUACCCGUAGAAGAAGCCCCGGCUAACUCCGUGCCAGCCGCCGCAGUAAGAC